GAGGGUGCCAUAAGACCUGCUAACUCUUUAAUCUGGAA
rnacentral:tRNA from 4 species